AACGACUCUCGGCAACGGAUAUCUCGGCUCUCGCAUCGAUGAAGAACGUAGCGAAAUGCGAUACUUGGUGUGAAUUGCAGAAUCCCGUGAACCAUCGAGUCUUUGAACGCAAGUUGCGCCCGAAGCCUUCCGGCCGAGGGCACGUCUGCGCUGGGCGUCACGC
rnacentral:rRNA from 1 species